rnacentral:lncRNA from 1 species
UUCAGAUAUGUUCUAUAGUAUUCAUUAACACGAACUCUUAAAAAAGCUGAGAUUUGCACAACUUUACGCGGUAGCACCUAAUGAGGGUUAUUUAGAUGUAAAACGGAAACCUCUUAGUCUUUUCAAGCUGUGAUAUCACGUUAAGAACCGUUUUAUCCUCUUGAAUUUUUAGAAUAGGUUUCAUAUUGGUUUUAUGUAUAGUAUUCAUUAACAGUUGCUAAUUAGUUAUAUAUACCUGCUGGGAUUGAGAAGCGAAAAACGCGGACAAGGGGUCGGGGGUGAUUGCAGAAGGCGCGGAGUGCAAACGAUCGGCGGCGGCCGCGGCAGCAGAGAGGCCUCCGUCCCAAGAGGGCAUGAAGGGAUGAGUCUGAUGGAGUAGCUGGGGAAGCGCGGCGGGUCGAGCCAUGGAGCUCAUGUCCAACAUACCCAUCCCCAUACCCAUUCCCAUCCCGAUGUUCAUCGGGGUCAUCAUUGACAUUUGAAGCUGUUGUUGCAUCGCCAUUGGUAGCAUCAUUGCUGGCUGCAUGUUCAUCCUGUUCAUCAUCUGGACUUGAGCUUGCAGUUGCUUCAAAUAAUCAAUCACUUCAUCCAGCAUUGAUGCCUUGUCAGUCUACAUGCAAAAUUAAAGAGGCUGAUUGUUAGUAAAGUUGGGUGGAAAUGUCUUUUCUUUCUUUCUUUCUUUCUUUCUGUUCAUGAGUUGGUCCCAUUUGUAUUUAGUAAUAUAUAUUGGAAAUAAUAUAUAUAUAUAUAUGGACUAGGAUCGAUUUUGUUGAGAUAGAAUUAAAGUCGACACCACGUCAGUGUUUUGGUGCUUAAUUAUGGACCAUAUAUGCAAAUCCUAAAUCACUUAUCUCUUCCGAUUUAAUCCAACUAAAUAUCUCAUCCAUAUUAAACUUGUACAUAUAUCGCGUUGAGUGAUGUUAAAAUAAUUACGAAUUUUAGUAAGUUUCGAACUCAAAAUCUCUCGAAACCGACUAAUAUUCUCCCACUCGAGAAUAAAACCCUAAAUUAGUUAGGGAAAGGAUAAGAAGUGCAAUUAGAAAUAUUCAUAUUCUUUUGCAGUCAAUUUGAGGGAGGUUGAGAAUAUUAAAUAUCAGGAUCUCUACUUUGUAGUGGGGCUGGGUUCAUUCAUUUCAAACCAUUGAUUGGCCUGCAAUAUUCUUUCUCUUUUGCUGAUUCCUCAUUUCUCAUUCCCCUUCCAUACUGGAAUACAACACCUCACAGUUUGGCCAGUGAAAAAGGAAAAAAGAAAGAAAACAACACAGCUCUUAAUUAGCAUAUUCAUAUGCUCUGUACAUACCUUGCUGGAACAUAAAAAAAAAGUUCUUGGAACCAGAUCCAGGCGGCUUCUGAUGAAGCUGUUGGUACAAUGCAGCCAUUCUGCUGUAUGCAUCCAUGUUCAUGGCCGGCUGCUGCUGCUGCUGCAACCAAUUUUUUCAUAACAUUAUUUUAUUAAUUUUAUUUAUUUACGAACCGUUUCCUCCCAAUAACUCGAAUCGUUAGGAGAGGGUUCAGAUAUGUUCUAUAGUAUUCAUUAACACGAACUCUUAAAAAAGCUGAGAUUUGCACAACUUUACGCGGUAGCACCUAAUGAGGGUUAUUUAGAUGUAAAACGGAAACCUCUUAGUCUUUUCAAGCUGUGAUAUCACGUUAAGAACCGUUUUAUCCUCUUGAAUUUUUAGAAUAGGUUUCAUAUUGGUUUUAUGUAUAGUAUUCAUUAAC